ensembl:lncRNA
CUCCAACUACCCUGCUGCAGGCUGGGUGCUCCCCACCAGCUCAGGCUGCCUGGAGCCCUAUUCGUGACCUUGGGCACCUCCAGGGAUGGAGCACCCCCACUCUCUGGGCAGCAGAUGUAAGAAUUCUCAGAGGUGCAGUGGGAUUUCUGUCUUUGCAUGCUGGUAGGUGCCAGCCUGUGAGAGGCCCAGGGCUGAAGGAUGUAGAAGCAGUGCCCACCAGUCCCUGCUCUCUCCACCAAAUGUGGGGCAGGUGUAGGACCCCAAAGAAGCUAUCCUUUAGUAGCAGCCCAAAUGUUGCUGAUUUGUGGAAAUGAGCCUGGGCUGCCAACCUUGCUCUUCUAGGAGCCCUGAAAGACUUUGAAUAUUAAAAAAUAAAGGUUGUACUUGAUAAAAGGCAAAUGUUUAGUUUGACACAUCUCAUUAUUCUAAGGAAUUUGCAGGAAAAGACAAACUUUGUUAGCCUGCCACUAAGUGCUAACAGUUUCUGGAAGUCAAUAAAGUGACCUGCUUGCCUUGGAAGGAAACAGUUAGCACAGACUUCCAAUUUCCCAGCUAAGUUAUGAAGACGGGAUGCAGGAAGACGGAAGCCAAGAUGUCAGUGCAGAAGACACAGAGCCUUCCCCAGACUAGGAUGGCUAGAGUUGAAAGAACAUCAUGCCCUGACAGCAGCUGCCAAAAUCAAACCCUUUUUCAAUGUUUUUUUGAUGUGAAUCACAGGAGGUUUCACUACUGGGAUUUGCAUCCAAACAGGAAACCUGCAGAUUUCUUCAAAUCCUGGCGACAAAGAGAUAGCUGCCAUGAAUUGCCUUCUGGUAGUGCCCGUUCCUCUCAGUUGAUUACAAGAGGAUCCCCAAAUGCUAGAUCAGUCUUUGGCCGGCAUCUUUCAUAAAGUGCUGAAAUUUGCCCUUGAGGCAUCAGAUGGAGUAGUCAGAUUGUCAAAUAAGUCUCCUAAUUGAAGCGAACGCUGGCACAAUAUUUGUCUUUUGAAAACAAACAUCGCCAGCAAAGUUGCAGGUCCACCACGGAGCCGCGCGGAGCCGGGUGUGCGCAAUGGGAGGAAGGCUGUGCGAGCAGAUUGUUGCAGGGAAACACCAAACCUGUGAAAAUCCACUGAACCAAAGCAAAAACAGUAAGAGCUCAUUAUUGCUUUAAAGUUUCAUGCGAGCAGGUGCAAGAAGUAAAUAAAUAUCCUCUUUUGGUGAUUUAUUUGCAUUUUUAUAUCUUAAAGGGUCAGAAGAAAUCAAUAGUUCUCCUUGCACUCUGUGAAAUUAAUCAGUAACUUUGGAGACACUCUGUGUUUAAGAAAACAAACUGAACAAACAGCACAUGGCCUUUAAAGAUGUCCUCCGGUGGUGUUCCUGGUGGAUUUGGGACAAUAAAAGGCUGAGUAUUUCCCAGUACAGCACCUACAAGAAAACCUAAGCGAGAGCACAGGACAAAGCCCUGUCUGGCGGUGCCCACCCCAGGUGACUCAGGAAGCAAGUGUUAUUGCAGCCAUAAGAAACCUGAUAGCGCUGUGCCUAUCAGCCAUCUGCAGGGGAAAAGGUCAGGGGCAUGGAUGUUGCCACUCACCUGGAGCACUUCUGUACCACUCCUCCAGCAGCUGCCGGUGGCACUGCUCAAAAUCACGGCUCUGAGCAAUGCCAAUAGGAGCAGGGUGUGUGCUUCAGGGUGGCCUGGGACUUCUGUAAGCAGCAACUCAAGCAAAUCUAGGUGGAGUGCAAGCAGGACAACUUCAUUUAAAAUGGCUGUGUGUGAUGACUUCAGUCCCAUAGCAUGCAGUCUCUAAUCGGCGUAGCAGUUCUUGGUGCAUCACCAGCUCCAUGUUGCAUUCCAUGUUGGUUUCAGCCCUGCCCAAUGCAGGGCAGCUCGGGCUGCUCAGAGCCCCAUCCAACCUGGCCUGGAGCGUCUGCAGGGAUGGAGCACCACAGCUUCUAUGUGCAUCUGUACCACUGCCUCACUGCCCUCUGAGUAAAGAAUUUACUCUUAACACCUAACUUAAAUCUCCCUUCUUUUAGUUUAAAGCCAUUCCCCCUCAUCCUAUCAAAUGAACCUAGUCUGGGAAUUUCCAUGCUAAAGCGCUACCACUCCAGUGGGGCUCCCCCUGAUAAAACAAACCCACUGGCUUUGGAACAAGCAGAGUAAGACUUUUGCAUCAAUGUAAUACAUAACAUGAAUUACUUGAUGGGAAGUGAAGACACUGAUAGUAUGGGAGCAAUAAAGAGCUGAUCCUACUUCCAUUAACUUUAUUGGGAGCAGACCCAAAAUCUUUAAGUGGAGAUUGGCAUAUCACAUCUAUCUAAUCUAAAGUAUCUCAGGAUUUAUAGUGUGGUAUCAGGACUGAGACAGACAGAUGAAAUAUUACUCCUGCUACAUUUAAUUUAUAAUCUUCAUCUCACUAUCAUUGCACCUACCUACUUAUAUAGUCUCCAUUACUAAAGUAGCUGAGAGACUGCCAAGUAUUUAGACAUAUAAAUAAAAUAGCAGAGAUUGUUUUGUUCUCUGUCUCCCUUUUUCUCUUGCUGUUUAUAAGAUGUCCCCUAAGGUUUGUGUUUGCUUUGUUUAUGGUUCUUAGUGUAAGUGAAUGGAACUGGAAAUCUGAAGGGUUUGUUUUUAAUAAAGUUUAUGGGAAAAUCAGAUACAUAGCAAAAGAAAUGCAUAUUUAUUUCUGUAUAUAUUGGGAUCAGUGGCUAUCAGGGAGAACAGAAGUGAAUGUGAAUUAUGGAGUUUAGAUCCAGGAGCUUUCAGAAUUUCAUUGCAUAAGCUCACAAACUUCCCCUGUUGAUUCACAGUCCAGACUGUACCUGUCAAAUGUCAUGGGCGGUCAUGUUGGUGGAAGGAGAUGUGAUAUCUCAGGAAGCAAAGUGCAAUACCCUGAAGGGCUUUGACUAUCAAGACACUGGGCAAGCCAAAGGAAUUUGUGCUGCUGAGUAAAUGGGAUGCUGUGUUUGGAAGUUUUCAGAGCUUUCAUAGGGCAUGUGGCUCUGUUCCUAUGUGUGAUAAGCAACCAUGGUGAAACUUCAAAGUCAAACAAUGCCUGAGUGUCCUGUCUGUGUCUUACAGGGAUAGUUGUGGACUUUUGGCUGGUCAAUCACAGAUAGAGAGGAUUACCAGGGAUUUAAGAAAGGUGUGCUUCCCCUCUCCAUAAAGGCAUCACUCCACCCCGGAGGGGCCACGCUGCAGCUCCCUGCUCCUCUUAGAGCUGCUCACAGUGAACACAGUGGUGGCUGGUGCUGGAACGAGAUGCGGGACCAAAGUCACCGUAGAAGCACCAACUCUCUGGUUUGGUUACUCAGCCUGGCUCUUGCCACCAUUGGUGCUUGUCACGCACCAGGGUCUGCACGUUGGGAGAGUUUGAGGCUGGUCUAACAGGAAGAACAUCAGACAUUUGAGGAUGUGUCCUUAAGAACUGGACAAUCCUAUGUUUUCUCUUUUCUAUUUCUGACUGCUGCUGAGCUCAUGAAUACCCACCAAUGGAUAAACAGAGAGCCCUGGACCUUUUUCAUAAUUGUUUCUGGAUAUAUCCUUCCUUCAUCUUAUUCUGAACAAAACUUCUUGAAUAGCUCAUUUAAGGAGAAAACACUCGAAAAGUAUAUUAGCAAACUCUUUCAGUGGGGUAAAACCAUCAACAUGGAAAAUUCAACUUUUCAAGAGAGCCAUUAAGUGUGAUUAAACCUUUAAAAAGGGAGAACAAUGAAUGCAGCCUUGUAUUUAGCAAUUUCAUAUCUUUAAUUGUACAAAGAUUUUCUUUAAAAGCACAAGCCUGAAAGGAAGCUGAAUGUUACAGUAUUUACUGAAGGAAAGCAAUGAGAGAAGAGAAGGCCUGUUCACUAGCUAAUGGAGUGAAGCCCAGAAAUAAUGACAAAAAAAAGCGAUAACGACCGCUCUCCAACACAACAUAUAUAAAAGAGGGAGCCAUAAAAAGGCAACAAUUCUUGACUUAGCUUUGAGUUUCACAAUGACUGUGAUUACAGAUAGCAAGUGGAAGAGCAUAUAUGCCAUGAUGAAAUCUCAUUGGCUUUGCAAUUGAGAUUCAAGCGAGGAAAGAAAAAAAGCAGGGACAUUGAAUUUCUGCAGAACAAAUUUUGGAUGGGGUAUGAGAAAUGGAAAGAAAGGGAGAAAGAACAAGGUCAUCAAAAAGUUCAGCAGAAAAUGAAUAUAUUCUCAUCCAUUCCAUCUAAUAAUAAACACACUAGGGGCCAGAUCCUCAGAUGAACCGAAUGCCAGUGAUGGAGCUAGCUGGUAGUUCCUGCAUAUGUGAAGAUCAAAUAUGUACAUGCAUCCUGGUGUACUUUAGCCUGUGCCAUCUUGCAGCAUCUUUCAUGCACACAGAAACCUUUGACUAAUGGGAACUAGAUUAUACCAAAGAAAUAAAAAACUAAACUCAUUAACUCAUACAAUAAUUAUAUUUAUGAUACAUUUCAUGCUAGCUUAACUGUAAGUGCUACUUUAAAGAGAAAAUAUUUUGACACAUUUUAAUGACACAUUAAUUGCCAGCUUUAUUUUUCUCGAUCAGUUUUUUAAAAGGCAGUGUUAGCAUCUUAUCUUCCAUCACACAUGUACGUGUCUGACUUCAUAUAUGUAAUACUGAGAUUAUAUAUGCUUGUACUUUUUCAUGACAAGGCUAUGUUAUCUCAGUUGAAGUCUUAUGCUCUUUGGAUUUUAACGGGCAUCUUUUAAAGCCUUCCAGUAGAUUUCCAAAAUACCUUAGAAGUGCAACUUCUAUUCAGUCAUUGUCUAGAAAACUAUAAGAGUGAGGUUUCUUAUACUUCUUCUAGAAAAAUUAGCUUUAAAGGUGCAGAGUGCAGAAGCUACGUAAAAAGAAUCCCCAAAGCAUUGAAACUACACUCUGACAGAUGGCAGAAGGUGCUGGUGGUCCCAGGCAGAGAGAAUGUAAUGUGACACACUGCAAAACAGCAACCUAGCAGGGAGAAUGAUGACUGAGGCUUGAUUCUCUCAAGGAGAAAGGCUGAGCAGAAUCACAUUAGAUCUCUGAGGAGUUUGCCUAAACAAUUUUAUUACAGUUACUCAGAGUAAUACCAGCUGUGAGCUUGUUAUUUAACAUCAUGGUAACUUGCAUGAGCAAUGAAAUAAAAAUGAAUUGGAGAGGAAUGUAGAAGUAAUGUAAAGGUGGCAGCAUGCCUGUAGGCAUAAGAACGAUGAAGAUGGAUACCAUUUUGAAGACUGAAAAAGCUAGUGCGACUGCGAGACAAGCAUAUGAGAAACCUGAAUGUCUGACACCUACCAUGGAGCCAGUGGCUUGCCGAUGACAGCCAUAUGGGAUAUGUCCGAUAAAGGUGAUCAGUGUAAAGAAUCAAACAAAAAUGCCAUUUCAGAACAGCCAGAACUAUCUGCAAAUGCAGUUCUCAUUCAGUGAAUAGCUUCAACUAGAAAAAAGAAAACACUUGAAAAAGACAGACACGAUUCCUUUGUCAUUUCUCAUAUUGAAUCUGAGCAGGGAAUUGUGAGCCUGAUAGCUUGCUGGUAGUGGCCUAACGCUCUGCAAAACUUUGCCUCAUUUGUAUCCUUAGAGCAUUGGGCCUACAAUAAUGGUAUUAAUUCUCUUUGCACUAGUAAAGAGAUGGUACGUGUUUCCUCUUUAGACCAGCAUGUGUAUCCUGGGAUUUCCCAUCCCUUGCUGACUCAGUGUAUAUUUAAUUAUACAAUGCAAAAUAAACCUGCUUGAAGGAGAUGAAAGAGCUCUACCUCUUGCAAGAGAGCCCUAGACCUGAAACAGCGUUAGCCACAGUCCCACUCUCAGCACAGAUAUGGACUAGAGAUUUUUAGAGCCCUCUCCAACACCUUUUCUGUGCCUUUGUGAUGACAUGCUCAGUUAGGUGGGUGUUAGGCACCGCUGUUUGGUGGUUGGCACCUACCUUCCUAGAGAAGGUAAGCCUAUGCUUUAGCAUUUCUUUUCCUGUGUAGCAAUUAAAAAGAGAUGGUCCCAGAAGGAUUGUCUUAAUUUUUAAGCAUAGUAAAUGCACAACAAAUGCUGAGGCCAGGCAGCCCUGAUCUUGAAUUAGAGAAGGUGCCUGAGAUCUGAGGCUUCUUGCUUUGAGGAGUAUCUCUGCCGCCAUCAUAUUGAGUAGAUGAGCAUAGUGUUCCGAAGAGUCCUACAGGAGAGGGUCUCUAGGUCUGGCUCUUAAUUUUGGACCAUUUGUGUUUCUAAUUAUAAAGAUGACUCAAGCUGGGAUUAUGAGUCUCUGGUAGCUCUGAAAAUAAUAUCCAAAGCUGAGCCACAGUUAUCAUUAGAGGCACUGAAAAUAGUUGCAAAACAAUGUACUGAUAUUUCCUGUAGUCACACCAGCUCUGGAAAAUGUUGACAGGAGGCACCAUCACAAAACUUUUGCCUGACAAAUGAAGAAGAGGACAAUGCCUGUAAUUUAGAUUUUGUAGUCUGCCAUCAAUUAAGUUGUAUGAGAAUCACUAGACCGAAGAGGGUAUUUGCGUGGGAAAGGUGAAUGAAAAUGCUCACCAUAGACUACAUACACUGAGAUUUUGCUAAUGAAGAAAAAGUGCAAAUACAGAGUUCCACUAUCUAAAACAAAAACAAAUUAAACUUCAUUCAUUGUGCCAUAGCCCUUAACAAGGGCAAUAAUAGGCGCUUAUGCAGGAUGAUAUAUUUUGUGAUUAUUGUAAAGAAUGACAUCCUUCUAUAAAAUGAAAUUAUGAAUUGUUUCAUGAAUGCUACAUCCCUGACACUUGCAGGACUGUGCCAUUUUUUUCCACUGAAACACUUAGGCAAUUACUCUUCAUGGAUAAGACAGAAACGUCUGGAUGUACAAUGGUUUCUGCAUUAACAAAGUUGCUAUGAUUUAGUCUGCUGUUUGCAUCUACUAACCUGCAGUGACCAGAAGCCAUUAUUUCCAUCGGACACAAUGGCAACCGGAAACAUUACCCUCACAAUGCUGAAGAAUGUAAAUGCAUUAUCUCAUGACCUCCAAGGAUGUGAACAGGUCUUGAGCUGCCUGGAGAACAUGCUGUGGCACCCAACAUGGCCACACAGGAGGUCUCUGCCUGCCUCUGCUGUCCCUGAUGCCGAAGGAGGACAGGCUGUGCCGGUCAGUGGGUGCUGUUGGGUGGGUGGCCAUGGCUGUGCCAGUGGGGGUGUCUUACUCCUUUGGGGAUGAACAUGGCGGGCAAAUGUGUUUAAAAAUCUGAAUGAAAGUCUACUGAAGUACACCACUCCCUCAACUCAAUGAGUCUUGUUUUCUUAAACUGCCCACUGACAUGCCAGCUACUGGGGCUGUUAGAAAUGCCUUCUCCUUUCUAGGAACACAGAAAUAAGUGUCUCCGUUAUGAUACCUGUAUGUAAAAAUACACCCACACAUUGAGUCCCUCUACGGUUCUAAAUUGCAGAUAAGGUGAGCAGUACAAGGGCAUGAAGCAGCUGCUGGAGUGUGGCUGUGUGCAGGCACCAGUGCACCCUGCCGAGGGCCCCCACUGCUUCCUUAAGCUGAGCAGUACCGUCACUUGGCAUGAUUCUGCUUAGGAAGGCAUGAUUAGAAAGCUAGCCUUUAAAGAGAAAAGUAAGCUUCUGAAAUGUGAUUGUCAUCAUGGAGAUGGUCUAUUUCUUGUGACAUAUUCCAAUCUAGUGCUUUACCUAGCAGUCAGCAACCCUGCCUGCAAGCAGAGGGGGUGGAACUGGAUGAUCAUCUGUUACAUGAUUCUAUGAUUUUUAACCUGUAUUUCUGCACAGAGGAGGCUGAAAACAUUGGAAAAAAAACAACAACAACAAAAACACACACACAAAAAAAACCCCACAACAGCCAUUUUGAUCAUAGCUAGAUGCAUGAACAAGAAGAACUAUUACCACCAUGAUAGCUGGAUAGUUUGGCUUAGUCAGGCCUCCAGUGUGCUGAGGCUGAAUGGAAAGAUGCUGGAAACCCCCAAAGAAAGAGCCCUGCUUGUAAGCAAUAUGAUAAUAGAAUAUCUGCGUACACAAAUCUGGCAUUAUUUAAUAGUGCAAAGAUUAAAUCUAUCCUGGUUGUUUGAAAUGAUAGGCACAGUUUAUUUGUGUGUCACACAGUUUCACUUUGGUUUUUAAGGACAAUUAUGUGAUCGUGACAAAGCCAAGUGACUCCCAGGGAUCAUCCACAAUGAUGAUGAGAGCCGGUGGGGAACACCAUGGAGGAGAAUGAAACAAUUACGAGCGUCUUUUAAAGGAAACUGUGAGAGAGAGGUGGGCAGGAAUUCGACACAGGGAAGGACAGGAAGCAGGAGUGUGGGGUAUCCAUGGAAAUAAGGCAAUCUUUUCUGCUGCUGUUGGGCUUGGGGGUAUUUUUGACACCCACAUGGAAGAACAAUGCAGUAUGAGGAUGGCGGUGGCUCAGAAGCAAGCACUUUGCCAAAAACAUUGUGUCGGUACAAUCGGCUAUCCAGGCCAAUGGAGACGGGUUUCAUAAGGGUCCCCUCUUGUCCUGAAACAUCUUAUUCUCCUUGCUAAAUGGCAUUUAAAAGCACCAAAUAUUUUAUUAAAAAUGCUUUUCAGGGCUAAACAACGUUAAAAGCACUUUCUAUAGCUUGCAUUGCUAUUUAGGAGAGCAUGUUAUUUCUUUUUAAUUUGCUCACUCAUUCCUGAAUAACUUUUCAUAGGACUCCAGACGCUGCAGUGUGACAGCUAAACCAAGGAGCAUCGGAUGCAAUGGAAUUGCUCUACAAGCAACCUUGCCAAAGGCCCUUUUGCUGCACAAAGCUGGCUCUAUCUUUGUAUAUUGAGGGAACUAAAUCAAUGUUAAAUGCUUGGCUCUUUUCACAGGACAAUGACCAGGACCUAAGCUGCGUCCUUCCUAUUUGAUUGACACUUGAAACGUUGAGUUGGAAUCAGCCAGAGGCACUGCUACAAGCUUGAAGCCUCUGCUGGGGAUAACAACUGGUGACAUCUGCAGAAAGGCCGACAAAAGGCAGUUGAAAGCCGUGUUUGUUGCUUUCCCCUCUCAGAUCUCCUCUCUUUCAUGGAGCUCCUUACUUGCUUUAAUAUUAUGAUUCAGCACCUGGCUCUUUUGAACCUUGCUUUAAACUUCAAAAGGCGAGGUGGUAUUAACAAACAUGAAACGAAAAAGUGGCAGUAGUUUGAUUUACUGUUGUCGUCUUAUCAAGGGGGUUUUUUGUCACCAGCUGCCACUUUCUGUCAUCUUUGGAACCAUUAUCAUUUCUCUAAAAUCUAAAAGACUCCACUUAAUAACAGCUUUGAAUACAGGCAGGAUCAGUAACGUAUACAGUUCUGGGAUGACAGGGCCGUCAAAUGAAAAGAAAGAUGUUGCCAAAAAAAAAAAAAAAAAUCCUUAAAAAAAAAAAAGCAAUAAAACAAAUAAAAGCCAUAGUACUUCUAAGUGACCUUGAUUUCAGAAUUAAACAAAUCAAGCACAAUUCCAUUGUUCUUUCUGGAUUAAUUCUGCACUUUCUUUGCAGUGUUUCUUUUUUGUUCUCAGGACUAAGGGAAAACAAAGCCAAGGCUUUCAGAAAACUGCUCGGCACACAACAAGCACUUGGUAUCACAUGAGUGCUGUAAGCUUCUCACUGUAAAACUGCCAGCGAUAAUUACUGGUCUCGUUUCCCCACCAUCCCAGCACAGCAACUCACAUUCAGGCUGAGCUGCCUUGCUAGUCAAAAAAAUGCUCAACUCCCCUCUUAUAGUGCUGCUCCAUGCUUUCCUGCAGACCUUCCCAACAUGGUUGUGUUGGUCUUUGGCUGCCAAGGCAGAACCAAGUGCCUGGUCAAGUUUGCCCAUUGCAGCUGCUCACAUUAAGCCACAGGCAGUCAAAUAAACACAAUUUUCUAAAGUGCAAACCUACUGCACUUUCACACUUGUCGCCUUGCCAUUCUUUACGGGAAACUCACUCUGAUCCCUUUGUUUUAUAAUGGUAUGCAUAAUUAACUCAUCUGAAGGUAGAAAUUUCUCCCACUGCCUUCUAAACUCAUGGAUAAAUGAUGGACAAGCCAUCACAAGCAGUGACUUUUAAUUUGCACAAAUUGGAACCUGCACUUCUGUGCAUCUUAAUAGUUACUUCCACUUGUGCAAAAAUAGUGAAACCAACUGCAAAAACCAAAGGAUCCCCUCCACUCUCCCCAUUGAUGUGUCCUCCCUCCCCUCAGUUAUGUGUAAAUCCAGGCAAUGGGAUCCAACACAUGGUCUCCCAUUGGCCUCUUCCAGACCUGUUCAACCACAGGAAUCUGGGGGAGAUUUAUGCCAGAACAUCUUCCUAAAACAGUGAUGGAAACAACAAAAUGAAAAUAUUCAUAGAAGUGAAAGUGCUGAUGUCUUGACCAGUGAAAACACAGGAUUGCAAGACUCCAAAGUUGGUUGAUUUUUUAUGGACUGGGAUGCGACAAAACUCAUGAAAUUGAGAUGGAGAUUGCUAAAAAUACCUAUUAUCCUCUGACAGAAGCACUCACUGUAUAACGAUAACGAGGGUUUUUCACAGAGCAUGUACAGAUUUGAAAGUUUAGUCAUUUUAACAAGUGUUAAUUACUGCAUGCUAACCAGCAGAAGUGUGUGGGGGAGAUGUUUUAUAUUUAUUUGUUCCAGACUUGGAACAUAUUAGAAAGUAGGCUCCCUUCCAGGUUACUGUGGUAUGAAUGAAUACGUUACCCAACUACAAAUAAAAAAUACUGCAAGAAGAAAUAAGGACUUUUCCCCAGCAUAUUUCUUUGAAGAGAAGACCGAGAAUAUGUUUAGUCUAUUACAUCAAGUGGAAAUCUUAGCCUGACCCUACUAAAAGUGCGUGUAGCACACAGAUACCAGAGCAGUGUGUCUGUGGGAGGUACUUUUAGGUUUAUCCAUGAAAAAAUGAGAUAUUCUGAAAGAAAGAACAUACAUGGGAAAUUAUCGGUGCAGUUGGAUCAGUCUCCCUGCAUGCUUUAGUAUGAUGCUGGAGAAGAGGAG